rnacentral:misc_RNA from 1 species
GCAAAGUUCAUUCACCAUCAUUCAAGGCCGGGUGUUCAAGAUGAUAGCCAGUGUUUUACAGUAUCUUGUUGAGAAUCCUUACCUAUUAGGCAUUACAGUUCUAUUGAUUGUUUUUAUUCUUGCCUUAUCUGUGUUAUUUUCUGGACCGAAACCGGCAAAAAACCCAUUCUCUCCUAAACAUGUACGACCAGUGGGGCAUCUUGUCAGUGACCAGAAAGAAAGAGACCGGGUUCUCAAACAAAGAUUCAAGGCAGAUAAAGUCCCAGAGAACCUGGACACAGUGAUCAUUGGGAGUGGGAUUGGAGGUCUGAGUGUGGGGGUUCUGCUUGCUCGUGCCGGCAAAAAAGUGCUCGUGCUAGAGCAACAUGACCAGGCUGGAGGAUGUUGCCACACCUUUCAUGAUAAAGGGUUCGAAUUUGAUACAGGUGUCCAUUACAUUGGGAAAAUGGAACCACACGAUGAUGAUCGAGUGUUGAUGGACCAGGUGACAGGUGGGCGUGUGGAGUACCCCAGGAUGGACGAAGCAUAUGAUAUUGUUGCAAUGGGAGAUCCCCAUCAAGAGAAAGUGAGGAAAUACCCUUUUUUGUCUGAUGAGAAGAAACUGAAAGAGAAUCUCAUAAGAUGCUUUCCAAAAGAAAAGGAUGCCAUUGAAAGCUUUUUCAAACUUUUGAGGGUUGGUGCUUCUUCAAUGGAAAAUGAAAUCAAUUUGAACGAACCAUUCACUUUUGCUAUUUUAAAACUGGUAACUUUCCAAGGAUCAUGAAAUUUAAUAGAUCACAUAUGAUAAUUUAUACAAUAAAUGCAUAUGGAUUGUACUAUCUGGUAUAUUUUUUGUAUUGUUAAUUUUUUUGGUCAUUUUUGUAUGAUAUGAAGUUAUAACUUUACAGUGAAUCUCUAAUACACACAUACGGUAUUUGCUGCAGUGACUGAUUUUUGACACAUUCUUUAGGAAUCUAGAAACUUCUUUGAGGGUUACUUUGUGCUGAAGCUUUUGCCAAAAUGGUUAGCCAGACUGUUAAUAUCUACUGGACUGUUCAACAUUGUCUUCAAGUCUUAUGCCAAGUUUGGGAGGAUCACACUGAAGAAAGUUCUGGAAGGACUAACAGAGGAUGAGGAGCUGAAAGGGACACUUUCUUAUAUAUUUGGAGAUUAUGGUGUGGUACCUUCAAGGUGUCCAUUUGGACUCCACACCACUGUGAUGAGGCACUACUUUUCUGGGGCUUACUACAUCAGGGGUGGACCCAGUGAAGUUCCUUUCCAGAUGGUACAGGUCAUUGAAGAAUUGGGAGGAAAGGUCCUAGUCAAUGCCCCCGUGUCAGAGAUCAUCAUGAAUUCAGGCAGGGCUGUGGGUGUGAAAGUUCAGAAAGGUGACAGCCAGGUAGAAAUUUAUGCUGAGAACAUUGUGACAGAUGCAGGAGUUUCCAAUACUUUUCUCCGUAUGUUGCCAAAAGAGGUGGCCACAAAAUCCAGUUUGUACCCUCUGAUUAACAAGCUGGGAGAAAGCCUGUCUUAUAUGACAGUCUUUAUUGGACUGAAUGGAACCAAAGAGGAACUAGGAAUUCAAGCCCAUAACUGCUGGAGCUUCACCAGACCGGAUUUGGAGCAGGCAUUUCAGGACUACAUAGGUAUGCCGCUGGACAAGGUGCGAGAUGCUGAGGUCCCCAUGAUGUUUGUCUCCUUCCCAUCGGCCAAAGAUCCCACCUGGCAUGACAGAAACCCAGAUAAAUCAACUUGUCUGCUGAUCACCUUGUCCAAGUAUUCCUGGUUCCAGCAGUGGGAGGAGGGCAGGGUCAAGCACCGGGGCGAGGAUUAUGAGGACCUGAAAACCAUCAUUGGCAAGAAGAUGCUGCAGCACUGCAUCAAGCUAUACCCAAACAUUGAAGGAAAGGUAGAGUACUUUGAUGUGGGGACCCCCCUCAGUAACAAAUAUUACCUUGGAUUCCAACAUGGAGAGAUGUAUGGCCUGGAUCACAACAUGCAGAGGUUUCUGCCGGAACCUGCCAUACAGCUACGAGCAAAGACAGACAUUCCAGGGCUUUACCUUACAGGUCAGGACAUCAUGUCGGCAGGUUUGACUGGGGCUCUCUUUGGGGGUUUGUUGUGUGCCUCAGAACUUCUGCAUCGCAACUUGUACAAUGAUCUCCAAGCCCUUAAAAAGGAACUUAAAAAAUCAUCUUAAAUAUAUUUGGUAUGUCAUAUCAUUUUUCUUCUUUUGAAUCAUUAAAAUCAGACUGUAAAAUUUUGUUUUUUGCUCAUUUUGAAAAUAUGUUGUAUGCAGUGUGCUAUGUAAGGUUUGAUUACAUCUUAUAAUUAUUUGUCUGCGGAAGAUGGACACAGACACAUGUACAAACAUCUCUACCUCUCGUGAGUUACAUAUGAUUGUUUAAUAUAUUACGUACUUCAUAUAUUUUUAUACCAAAUGUUUUAAUUUUUUUGUUAUCCCAAUUAAUGUUAUUUCAAUAAAAUUUAGAUCAGC